AAAGGAAUAGACGGGGGCCCGCACAAGCGGCGGAGCAUGUGGAUUAAUUCGAUGCAACGCGAAGAACCUUACCUGGGUUUGACAUGCACAGGACGCCGGUAGAGAUAUCGGUUCCCUUGUGGCCUGUGUGCAGGUGGUGCAUGGCUGUCGUCAGCUCGUGUCGUGAGAUGUUGGGUUAAGUCCCGCAACGAGCGCAACCCUUGUCUCAUGUUGCCAGCACGUGAUGGUGGGGACUCGUGAGAGACUGCCGGGGUCAACUCGGAGGAAGGUGGGGAUGACGUCAAGUCAUCAUGCCCCUUAUGUCCAGGGCUUCACACAUGCUACAAUGGCCGGUACAAAGGGCUGCGAUGCCGUGAGGUUAAGCGAAUCCUUUAAAGCCGGUCUCAGUUCGGAUCGGGGUCUGCAACUCGACCCCGUGAAGUCGGAGUCGCUAGUAAUCGCAGAUCAGCAACGCUGCGGUGAAUACGUUCCCGGGCCUUGUACACACCGCCCGU
rnacentral:rRNA from 1 species